rnacentral:tRNA from 2 species
AGCCUCGAGGUGUUUUUACAUGUCAGAUUGCAAAUCUGAAGUGGCAGGCUAGCCCCUGCCGGGGCUU